rnacentral:rRNA from 1 species
AUCCAUACAGUCCCAGCGACAGCGGUCAAACUUUGGAAGAGCCGAGUGUUAUCCAUCCAUGCCAGGCGUUAAAAGCGUUCGUGUC